rnacentral:rRNA from 1 species
GUGGGGAAUAUUGGGCAAUGGGGGAAACCCUGACCCAGCGACGCCGCGUGGGUGAAGAAAUCCUUCGGGAUGUAAAGCCCUGUUGUAUGGGAAGAGCGGAAGACGGUACCAUACGAGGAAGCCCCGGCAAACUACGUGCCAGCAGCCGCGGUAAUACGUAGGGGGCAAGCGUUGUCCGGAAUUACUGGGCGUAAAGCGCACGCAGGCUGAAUUAUAAGUCGGUAGUAAAAGGCGGGGGCUCAACUUCCGUAUAUCUAUCGAUACUGUAAAUCUAGAGUAUGUGAGAGGGAAGCGGAAUUCCCGGUGUAGCGGUGAAAUGCGUAGAUAUUGGGAAGAACACCGGUGGCGAAGGCGACUUGCUGGCCAGCAACUGACGCUGAGGCGCGAAAGCCAGGGGAGCAAACGGGAUUAGAAACCCGUGUAGUCC